AUAUAUAUAGAUUCUUACAUUGAUACCAGUGGAUUAUCGGAUUUAUCCAAUCGAGAUAGUUUAAUUAUCAAUUUUAAGUUCGAGCGCCUCGGCGAGUACUUUAAAAUUUAUAAUUUAACUAUCGAGAUUGGAUAAAUCCGAUAAUCCACGAGUAACUAUGUAAGAAUCUGUUUCUCUAAUGAUUAAAAAGACAUUUUUCUUUUUUUGUUUACCGAAAAUCCCCUUCGAGUGCCUUCACAUUGCACGAAGUUGUCAUUUCAUUAACACCUGUUAUCAUAUUUUGGUUCAUCCAGUCAGCCAAAAAGGUCAUGACCCUUAAAAUCAACCAAUGAUCUUCUGAGAUCACCAGCAACCACACGUUGAUUACAUUUUUUUAUACAAUGGGUUCGAAAAGGGAUAAAUUUCCAAAGAAUUAGAGAAAUAUAUAUA
rnacentral:lncRNA from 1 species